rnacentral:rRNA from 1 species
AUGAACGCUGGCGGCGUGCCUAAUACAUGCCAGUCGAGCGGACAGACGAGGAGCUUGCUCCUCUGACGUUAGCGGCGGACGGGUGAGUAACACGUGGAUAACCUACCUAUAAGACUGGGAUAACUUCGGGAAACCGGAGCUAAUACCGGAUAAUAUAUUGAACCGCAUGGUUCAAUAGUGAAAGACGGUUUUGCUGUCACUUAUAGAUGGAUCCGCGCCGCAUUAGCUAGUUGGUAAGGUAACGGCUUACCAAGGCAACGAUGCGUAGCCGACCUGAGAGGGUGAUCGGCCACACUGGAACUGAGACACGGUCCAGACUCCUACGGGAGGCAGCAGUAGGGAAUCUUCCGCAAUGGGCGAAAGCCUGACGGAGCAACGCCGCGUGAGUGAUGAAGGUCUUCGGAUCGUAAAACUCUGUUAUUAGGGAAGAACAAAUGUGUAAGUAACUAUGCACGUCUUGACGGUACCUAAUCAGAAAGCCACGGCUAACUACGUG